GUGGUUCUGUUGCUUAAAACGAAGCAGCAGGUACUUCAGUCCCUACGAGCACCUGAACUCCCAAGAUCAGAUCCCUCUCUACACCACCCACACCCGCUUUGAGGGCUCCAAUGGCAGGCAGAACGAAGAGUUGGAGAAGUCGAUGAAGGAGCGAUCAGGAGCUUACACAAUCACCCAGUAACUCUUCAUCCUGGAUUCAAAGGUUCUUCUUGUUAAAGUUAAUUUAAUACUUUAAGUGUUGCUGAUUUUCAUUAUUAAUCUUAAUAAUGUUCAGAUGUUUUCACUUGUAAUAAUAAACGGUUAGUUUGAUGAAGUUCUUGUUUUUUUAAUAAUCAGUUUUUUGUUCGCUGGUUCUGACCCACUUUGUUCUGGAUCAUGUGUCAGGAAACAGAUCUUUGUUGCAGAACUGAUUCUGUUGGAUUUUCAGCUGAACUGCAGUGAAAAGAUGAAGGUGUGCAGCUGUUUUUAUCAAAGUUUAACAUUCAUCCAAUGUUUUAUCAGUUUAUGUGAGGAAAUGUUGAACUUUUAGCUGUUUUUCUGACUCUCUUUGUGUUUUUGUGUGAAUAAAAAACCUCCAGCUGUUUCAGAAUAAAUAAAACUGAUCCUGUUUGGUGGGAAAAUCCA